rnacentral:rRNA from 1 species
GGACGAACGCUGGCGGCGUGCUUAACACAUGCAAGUCGAACGGGAGUAUUGAAGAAGCUUGCUUUAGAGAUACUUUAGUGGCGGACGGGUGAGUAACGCGUGAGGAGCUGUCCUAUGCAGGGGGACAACAGCUGGAAACGGCUGCUAAUACCCCAUAAGCCGAGAGGUAAAAGGAUCAAUCCGGCAGAGGAGGUACUCGCGUCCUAUCAGCUAGUAGGUGAGGUAACGGCUCACCUAGGCGAAGACGGGUAGCCGGCCUGAGAGGGCGAACGGCCACACUGGAACUGAGAUACGGUCCAGACUCCUACGGGAGGCAGCAGUGGGGAAUAUUGGGCAAUGGGGGAAACCCUGACCCAGCGACGCCGCGUGGGUGAAGAAAUCCUUCGGGAUGUAAAGCCCUGUUGUAUGGGAAGAGCGGAAGACGGUACCAUACGAGGAAGCCCCGGCAAACUACGUGCCAGCAGCCGCGGUAAUACGUAGGUGGCAAGCGUUAUCCGGAAUUAUUGGGCGUAAAGAGUGAGCAGGCGGCAGUUUAAGUUUGGAGUCAAAGCGAGGGGCUCAACCCCUUAACGCUCUGAAAACUGAACAGCUAGAGUGCGAGAGAGGUAAGUGGAAUUCCAUGUGUAGCGGUGAAAUGCGUAGAUAUAUGGAGGAACACCAGUGGCGAAGGCGACUUACUAGCUCGAUACUGACGCUCAGUCACGAAAGCGUGGGUAGCAAAUAGGAUUAGAUACCCUAGUAGUCCACGCUGUAAACGAUGAGAACUAAGUAUUGCCGUGAGGCAGUGCUGAAGCUAACGCAUUAAGUUCUCCGCCUGGGGAGUACGGUCGCAAGACUGAAACUUAAAGGAAUUGACGGGGCCCCGCACAAGCAGUGGAGCAUGUGGUUUAAUUCGACGCUACGCGAAGAACCUUACCAGGACUUGACAUGGAAUUAAAGACCCUAGAAAUAGGGGGAUAGUCAUAGUUCACACAGGUGGUGCAUGGUUGUCGUCAGCUCGUGUCGUGAGAUGUUAGGUUAAGUCCUGCAACGAGCGCAACCCUCGUCCUUAGUUACCAUCAUUCAGUUGGGGACUCUAAGGAGACUGCCGAUGUAAAUCGGAGGAAGGUGGGGAUGACGUCAAAUCAUCAUGCCCUUUACGUCCUGGGCGACACACGUGCUACAAUGGCCGGUACAAAGAGAAGCAAUACCGCGAGGUGGAGCUAAUCCCAUAAAGCCGGUCUCAGUUCAGAUUGAAGUCUGCAACUCGACUUCAUGAAGUCGGAAUUGCUAGUAAUCGCAGAUCAGCCAUGCUGCGGUGAAUACGUUCCCGGGGCU